GGGGGAAUAGUAUAGCGGUAGUAUAGCGUCCUUGCACGACGUCAGCCCGAGUUCGAGUCUCGGUUCCGAUCCCA